UCUAAUAUGGCAGAUUAGUGCAAUAAGUUUAAGCCUUAUAUAUAAAGAAUACUCUUUUAUUAGAA
rnacentral:tRNA from 1 species